rnacentral:rRNA from 1 species
AUGGCAGAAACCAACAAGGAGAAUGUGAUUCGUACAUCCUUACCUCAAGUUGGUCAGAAAUUCACAGACUUGGCUGAGGCAUGGUCAUUUUGGGUUAACUAUGGAGGCACAAACAAAGAAUAUAGGUCUUUUGGUGUUUUCGUCGGAUUCAAUCAUUUUAGAGAGACCGUUAUUUUUGGUGCUGCUCUUUUGUUUGAUGAAACACGUGGCUCUUUCAAAUGGUUAUUUGAGGCUUUUGUAGAGGCACACAACGGAAAGCAACCUAGAGCUAUAUUUACCGAUCAAGACACGGCAAUGGGAUUGGCUGUUGGAGAUGUUUUCACCCAAGCAUGGCAUGGCUUGUGCACCUACCACAUCAUGCAAAAUGCCGUCAAGCACUUGUGCAAUAGCAAAGUUGAAGAAUCAAAAAAAGAGGAAGAUGAAGAACCUCAUAUCCUCUUAGAUUUCAGCGCUUGUAUGUAUAAUAUUGAGGACAAGGCAGCCUUUGAAGAGGCAUUUGACAUCAUGAGAAAUAAGGUGGAUAAGAAGAAGGCCUCAUGGCUAGAUAGCAUCUACAAGUUAAAAGAAAAGUGGACUGAAUGUUACAUGAGGGAUGUUUUCACAUUGGGAAUGAGAAGCACACAAUUAAGUGAGAGUUUCAAUAGUGAUUUGAAAAAACAUCUCAAAUCAGAUUUUGACAUCAUUCGCUUCUUAAAACAUUUUGAAAGGGUUGUGCAAGGAAAAAGAAACAAGGAGCUAGAUGCAGAAUUUGAAGCUACUAAAAAACUGCCUAGAAUAGGGAUGGAGACUCCUAUGUUGUUGCAAACAAGCGAAGCUUACACACCGACCAUAUUUGAAGCAUUCAAAUCUGAAUAUAGAAGAUCCAUGGCUGCAUGUAGUAGAGCAUUGGAUGGAGAUAAUACAUAUGCUGUUACAAUUGUGAGGGGUAAUGGUGAUUUGAGUUCCGAACUAGAGCGCAUAGUUGUCGGUGAUCCUUUGGAGCAAACGACUUCUUGUAGCUGUUUUCAGUUUAAAAGGACCGGAGUAUUGUGUGCGCAUGCUUUAAAAGUUCUUGACUUGAUGAAUAUCAAGUUAUUGCCAAACCAUUAUCUUUUAAAGAGAUGGACCCGAGAAGCAAAAUCUGGAACUAUACAAGAUACCAAAGGAAGGGAUAUAAUUGAAGAUCCAAAAUUGGAUGCUAUGUUGCGGUACAAGUUUGUUUCUCACAAAUUUCAUGAUUUUGCAAGUGAAGCCGCAAGCGAUCCGGAAUGUAUCUUGUUGGUGGACAAUGCAUUGGACAUCCUUGCCAAGCAAGUACGGGAAAAACUGAGGAUAUCUAGAAGUAUUUUGAGUGAAUACUCUAAUGUGCAGCCUAAUGUUCAACAAGAUGAGGGUUUGCUUAGUUCUGCACGCCUCAAGAAAAAAGAGGUUCAACCGAAAAGUUCAAAGAGACAUAAACCUUGGAUCGAGAAGACAUGCAAGUAG